rnacentral:rRNA from 1 species
GCUCGCAAUGUCAUAAAUAGAAAAUGCCUGUACCAUAACCGACACAGGUGGGUAGGUAGAGUAUACUAAGGGGCGCGAGAUAACUCUCUCUAAGGAACUCGGCAAAAUGACUCCGUAACUUCGGGAGAAGGAGUGCCUUAUUUAUAAGGUUGCAAUAACAAGAUCCAAGCAACUGUUUAUCAAAAACACAGGUCUCCGCUAAGUCGUAAGACGAUGUAUGGGGGCUGACGCCUGCCCAGUGCCAGAAGGUUAAAGAAGUUGGUUAGUGUAUGCGAAGCUGAUGACUGAAGCCCUGGUGAACGGCGGCCGUAACAAUAACGGUCCUAAGGUAGCGAAAUUCCUUGUCGGGUAAGUUCCGACCCGCACGAAAGGCGUAAUGAUUUGGAUACUGUCUCGGAGAGAGGCUCGGUGAAAUAGACUUGUCUGUGAAGAUGCGGACUACCUGCACCAGGGCAGAAAGACCCUAUGAAGCUUUACUGUAACUUGAAAUUGGAAUUGGACUUUGCUUGCGCAGUAUAGGUGGGAAGCGUUGAAGAUAUUCUUGCGGGAGUAUUGGAGCUAUCAGUGAGAUACCACUCUUGUAAUGUUAGAUUUCUAACUUUGAACCAUAAUCUGGUCAAAGAACAGUUUCAGGUGGGCAGUUUGACUGGGGCGGUCGCCUCCCAAAUGGUAACGGAGGCGUACAAAGGUUUCCUCUGAACGGAUAGAAAUCGUAUCUAGAGUGUAAAGGCAUAAGGAAGCUUGACUGUGAGACCUACAAGUCGAGCAGGGACGAAAGUCGGUCUUAGUGAUCUGACGGUACUGAGUGGAAAGGCCGUCACUCAACGGAUAAAAGUUACUCUAAGGAUAACAGGCUGAUCUCCCCCAAGAGUUCACAUCGACGGGGAGGUUUGGCACCUCGAUGUCGGCUCAUCGCAUCCUGGGGCGGUAGUACGUCCCAAGGGUUGGGCUGUUCGCCCAUGAAAGCGGUACGCGAGCUGGGUUCAGAACGUCGUGAGACAGUUCGGUCCAUAUCCGGUGUAGGCGUUAGAAUAUUGAGAGGAGCCUUCUUUAGUACGAGAGGACCGAGAAGGACACACCGCUGGUGUACCAGUUAUCGUGCCAACGGUAAACGCUGGGUAGCUAUGUGUGGAGUGGAUAACCGCUGAAAGCAUCUAAGUGGGAAGCCCACCUCAAGAUGAGUAUUCUCAUCACUAUAAGUGAGUAAGGUCACGGUAAGACUAACCGUUUGAUAGGCAUUAAGUGUAAAUGUAGUAAUGCAUGUGCUGAGAUGUCCUAACAGACCGAGGAC